UUUGUUGUAAAAUGCUAACAUGACUGUCAAUAUUAAAAAAUAUCAUUAAAAUGAUGAGGUUCCAAUUUCAACUUUAAAUAAUCACCUUCAUGAAAUCCAUUAUUUCAAUAUUAUCAAAACUAUAAAUCUAUGGAACAAUCUUUCUUGUCUAAUCCGAAAUCUGAGAAAAAUGCUAAUAUAUAUAAUAUAGCAUUGCCACUAUUAGGUAUUUUACUGUCUAUUAGUUUUUCUCUGAUUUAGGCUUAGACCAGUAAAGUUGUUAAAUUGUUAAAUUUAUGUAUUUUAAAUUUAUUUACGUAGUUUAGUUAAGACAAUGUAAAAUUUAAUUAGUGUAAAUUUGUUUAGACUUUCAAUAUUAUGUGUUGCUUCUCUUAAAUGAGAUAAAUACCCAAGGAUGCAAAAAACUUAAUAUAAAGUAGUGUGAAGAAGAAGUAGUAACUGAAAUUAAAAGCAUAAUAAAAUUUGAUAAGUUUGACUCAGCACUUGACAAUGUUUCAUCUAGUAACUCUGUAGUAUCUCUGCAGUUGUAAAUUGCUAAAUACUGAUUUGACAGAUUUUUCUUUUUUUUUUAAUUUUCUUUACAAUAUAUAAUUUUUACUACUUAAUUAGGAAUUGUCAGAUUUCCAUUAUUUCUUUCUAUUAGAAACCAAGAUUUCAAAAUAUUAGUGGUAAGAACUGUCAAAAACUUGUGAUAGCUAUGAUGAAGAGAUUUGUGACAAAUUCGCUCAUGGCCAAAUCUAAUAUGGCAGCUGGAAAAGGCAAAGAUCUUUUUAGCCUAACUAAGCUAUACAAUUUAAUAAAAGUUUGUGCAUCGACUUCUCACGAAUCAUACACUGAGUCGAUUGACGAUGCAAUAAUUGCUGAUUCGUGAAAACGGGCAACUUUUGCUUGUCUUAAAGUGCCUUAAAUCCAUCGUUAUAAUAUUACUUUGUUUGUAAAUUGUUUUGAAAAAUAAAUUUAAA